rnacentral:rRNA from 1 species
GUUUACCAAAAACAUGGCUUCUUGUAAUCAAAAAAUAAGGAGUCGGGCCUGCCCGGUGAAAAUUUUUAACGGCCGCGGUACUCUGACCGUGCAAAGGUAGCAUAAUAACUUGCCUUAUAAUUAAAGGCUGGUAUGAAUGGUUUGACAAGAAUGGUACUGUCUCUAUAUAGUUUAUUAGAAUUUUAUUUUAGGGUGAAGAAGCCUUAAUAAAAUUGAUAGACAAGAAGACCCUAUCGAGCUUUAAAAAAUUUAGAAAAUUAGAAUUUAAUAACUCUAAAAAAAAGUUUUUAAAAAUUUUAGUUGGGGCGACUGAGGAACAAUCAAAGCUUCCUUUAUAUUUUUUAACUUCUAGGUUUUGAUCCAAAAUAUUUUGAUUAAAAGAAUUAGUUACCGUAGGGAUAACAGCAUUAUCUUUUUUGAGAGUUCCUAUCGAAAAAAAGGUUUGUGACCUCGAUGUUGGACCAGAAUAUCCUAAAGGUGCAGAAGCCUUUAAGGGUUGGUCUGUUCGACCAUUAAAAUUCUACGUGAUCUGAGUUCAGACCGG